AUCAAUCAACAAAAAGACACCGACAGGUCAAAGCAAAGAGCCAGGAGGUGCCCACCAACACUCCUCCGCGGCGCGCGCACCAAACACCACCGCCACCUGCGCGAGGCCCAGCGAGCACAGCGUCUGCAUUCGCACUUUCGCCACGGGCGCUGCGGGGAGACCCCCGGGGCCAGGGGUACGGGCCUUGCCUCAGCCGGCGCCCUAUAAGGCUCGGGAGUUGCGGCCCAGGGAACCUGGAGAUUGGCCGCAUCCCCCGGAGAGUAGGCUUCGCCACCACUGUCCUGCUGCUCCGGCCCGUGGCUCUUGGCGAAUCGGUGGCGACGAAAACUGCGCCUAGUCUCUGAGGGAAAGGGGGCGGGGCGGAGGGGAGGAGGCCAGCCAGGGCUGAGGAAGUUUGAGUGGCGCGUUGAGCAGACGCAGAUUCGUCAGGCGGGCGGGGCGAAUCGGAGGACAGGAUGAGCGCUCUUCGGCUCCUCUUCCCUGCCCCUUCCUUGCGCGGCCAAAGGUCUAAGAAGUUGCAGAUUCGCCACUGUUCCCGGUCUCAGCCGUCGCUUCCCUUCAUCCGCCUUGGUGGGGGGGCGGGGAGGAGGCACGAAAAUAACGCCCGGCUAGCCGAGCCCUGCUGGCUGCGUCGGCCGCUUUUUCUGGAUCGUUCUUGCUAGCACAACUCAGGGGGGACAACCCACUUCUGAGCCAGGGAGGAAUGGCCACAGCCCAAAGCGAUGAGAAUUUUCCGCCGAGCAAACAGGCGCCCGCGCAAUUCUCAGAAGGCGGCUGGCGAAUCUGCGGAGCCUGCUGUGGGCGGGGCCGAGCGCCGCGCGGAGGGGCGUGGCCAGGGCGUGCGGGAGCCGGGCUGCGGGGGCGCUUCCUGGGGGACCCACCGCAACCCGGCGGCCCCGGAGGGGUGACUCAGGCGGUUUGCCGGGCCCGUGCACCCAGUGCUUCCCGUCGGCCCCGUGAAGAUGCCCGUCUGACAGACAGGGAUUCGGAGGCCUGGAUAAGGGGAAAGUAAGUGGGGUCGCUGUCCCAGAGGGUCCCAUGCGGUGGGAAAGGCAAUCCAAGUUCAGCUUCCUUAUCUUUGAAACGGAACGAUCUAGACCAUCACCUGCCACCACCCACGACGCCGGCAUCCAGGUGGACACCAGUCUGUCCCGGCUGCUCCACUUCCCAUCCAGCUCCCUGCUAUGGCCUGGGAAAAGCAGUGGAAGAUGGCUCAUGGGUCUGGGCCCCUGCCACCUGCGUGGAAGACCAGGAAGAAGUUCCUAUUGCGACCAUCUGGGGAGUGAACCAGCAGGUGGAAGAUCUCUCUUUCUCUCUGCUUUCAAAUAAAAUAAAUUUAAAAAAUUAAAAGACUUGUCUC
rnacentral:lncRNA from 1 species